GUGACCAGGAUUUUAUGUACCAAAAAAUACAGGCUAAUACAGGCUAAUUGCUGCUUUGCACUAUGCUUCACUUUCUUUCAGUUUGCCUCUUCUCUCUUCCACUCCUUUAAAGUAUAAACAUCUUCAGUAUAUGGAUGUAAUGUCAGUCGGCACUUCAUUUCAAAGCACAAAAAUGUAUGUGAAUAUGUAUGUGUUCAUUCAUGUGCGUACUUCUUAAUGAGUAAGAGAUAGUGAGUUUUUUUUUUGUUCUACAGGUGUAAAGCUGGUUUAAAUKUUUACAUCAGCUGUGAAUUUUACACAAUGCAUUUCAGCAGACCUGGAGAAAGGACCCAGAAGCCUUUGCCAUCUAUGCAGACCCACUAGGACAAGUCACAGCUCCUCCUGUGCCGAAGUAAGUAUCGCUAGAAAACGGACACCGAGCAUCAACCCUCGUCCUGUCUCAAAUGAGGCCUGGAGAGGCACGGUGGCUGUUCUCUGGCAGUAAUACCAGGGAUUCAGCACAGGGCCCAGGCGC
rnacentral:lncRNA from 1 species